rnacentral:rRNA from 1 species
GACGGAAGGUGCAAGCGUUACUCGGAAUCACUGGGCGUAAAGCGUCCGCAGGUUUUUUGUUAAGUCUGGCGUAAAAGCACGGGGCUCAACCCCGUGUACGUGCCGGAAACUGGCAAGAUAGAGUCAUACAGAGGUAUCUGGAAUGCCAUGUGUAGGGGUAAAAUCCGUUGAUCCAUGGUAGAAUGCCAAAAGCGAAAGCAGGAUACUGGGUAUGUACUGACACUCAUGGACGAAAGCGUGGGGAGCAAACGGG